UAUAAGUGCAGGUAGGAAUACACUGCAUACUCGCGUCACCGAACUAAUUGUUUAAGCGAUAUGCAAUAUCGUCGGCCGCGGGGACGCCUUCGGGCGUUUUUUUUUGCU
rnacentral:sRNA from 12 species